rnacentral:rRNA from 1 species
UACGGAGGAUGCGAGCGUUAUCCGGAUUUAUUGGGUUUAAAGGGUGCGUAGGCGGAUUUUUAAGUCAGCGGUAAAAUGUCCGGGCUCAACCCGGGCCGGCCGUUGAAACUGGGGAUCUUGAGUGGGCGAGAAGUAUGCGGAAUGCGUGGUGUAGCGGUGAAAUACAUAGAUAUCACGCAGAACUCCGAUUGCGAAGGCAGCAUACCGGCGCCCGACUGACGCUGAGGCACGAAAGCGUGGGGAUCGAACAGG